GCGGUCAUUAAUAUCAAUAAGAAUGUCCCCAUGCUCUGAAGUGCCAAUACCAACUCCAGACUCUACUUCAGUAACAUUCUUACCAGGGUUCUCUGUUGAUGAUGAAGGCUCCGCUUGCUCUUGAGGUUCAUUUCCAUGGUUCUUAUGUGUACUUCCAUCAAUCCAGCCCGGUUCUAGUGGUCCCAUUAAAGAUUCCUCCUUGUGCUUGUCAGAAACUU
rnacentral:misc_RNA from 1 species